UCCGGGUGCAGUGGAUCGUGCCUGUAGUCCCAGCUACUCGGGAGGCUGAGGUGGGAGGAUCGCUUGAGCCCAGGAGUUCUGGGCGGUAGUGCGCUAUGCCGAUCAGGUGUCCGCAUUAAGUUCGACAUCAAUAUGGUGACCUCCCGGGAGCAGUGGACCACCAGGUUGCCUAAGGAGGGGUGAACCGGCCCAGGUCAGAAACAGAGCAGGUCAAAACUCCCGUGCUGAUCAGUAGUGGGAUCGCGCCUGUGAAUAGCCACUGCACUCCAGCCUGAGCAAUAUAGUAAGACCCCGUCUCU
rnacentral:SRP_RNA from 1 species